UACGAAGGGGGCUAGCGUUGCUCGGAAUCACUGGGCGUAAAGGGUGCGUAGGCGGGUCUUUAAGUCAGGGGUGAAAUCCUGGAGCUCAACUCCAGAACUGCCUUUGAUACUGAGGAUCUUGAGUUCGGGAGAGGUGAGUGGAACUGCGAGUGUAGAAGUGAAAUUCGUAGAUAUUCGCAAGAACACCAGUGGCGAAGGCGGCUCACUGGCCCGAUACUGACGCUGAGGCACGAAAGCGUGGGGAGCGAACGGG
rnacentral:rRNA from 1 species